GCCAGACUCCUACGGGAGGCAGCAGUGGGGAAUAUUGCACAAUGGGGGAAACCCUGAUGCAGCGACGCCGCGUGAGUGAAGAAGUAUUUCGGUAUGUAAAGCUCUAUCAGCAGGAACGAGACAAGACGGUACCUGACUAAGAAGCCCCGGCUAACUACGUGCCAGCAGCCGCGGUAAUACGUAGGGGGCAAGCGUUAUCCGGAAUCACUGGGUGUAAAGGGAGCGUAGACGGCUGUGCAAGCCUGAAGUGAAAGGCGGGGGCCCAACCCCUGGACUGCUUUGGGAACUGUACGGCUGGAGUGCAGGAGAGGUAAGUGGAAUUCCUAGUGUAGCGGUGAAAUGCGUAGAUAUUAGGAGGAACACCAGUGGCGAAGGCGGCUUACUGGACUGUAACUGACGUUGAGGCUCGAAAGCGUGGGGAGCAAACAGGAUUAGAUACCCGUGUACA
rnacentral:rRNA from 1 species